GUUUUUGUUUUUGUUUUGUUUUGUUUUUUAAGAUGGAGUCUCACUCUGUCUCCCAGGCUGGAGUGCAGUGGCACGAUGUUGGCUCACUGCAAGCUCCACCUCCCAGGUUCACGCCAUUCUCCCACCUGAGCCUCCCAAGUAGCUGGGGACUAUAGGCGCCCAGCACCACACCCGGCUAAUUUUGUUUUUGUAUUUUUAGUAGAGACGGCAUUUCACCGUGCUAGCCAGGAUGGUCUCAAUCUCCUGACCUCGUGAUCCAACCCCCUCGGCCUUCCAAAGUUCUGGGAUUACAGGUGUGAGUCCGGCCAGCUAAAUGUAGGAUUUAAACAAAGGACAGGCCACGCUCAGACCCAGUGACGGCAGGGAUGGGCAGCUGGGCCACUAUCCGUGUCUGGGAGAGUUCCUAACAAGCUACUGAAACAGCGUGGGAGGCUGGGCACCUGCAGAGCUCCCCCUCCACUGGGGGAAAUGCUGCCUGGACUGGUGCGGCCCCAGCCCCAUCCCCACUCAUGGGUGCUGUUCAUGCUACGGAAGAAGGCCCCCAGUGCAGUCCGAUCUUUCGCAGCUCAUCUCUUCCCGUCCUCCAGGGCCAGGUGGCCAUCAGAGGCCCCUCCUGCCAUGUGGUAUGCAGCUGUGGUGAACAGUCCUGGCCUGCUCCCGACUUCAGUUUUAAGCGUCUCUUCACUCACAUGGUGUGUGUUUGGCUUGAAAUAUAAAUGCACUGCUAUGUUAAACUAGUGUCCACAUCCUCUUGACAUUUCCAUUGCCUAAAGACACAGAGGCCUCCCUGGACAUUGCAUCCAUUUUCUCACAAGGUCUGAGCCCCACCACACGCUGGUUCUGCUCUGGGCACCAAGGCUUUGGGGGUGACCACAGCCCUGGUCCCUACUUCACGGUACUUCUGGUUUAAUCAGCAGAACAGACGCUCAACAGAGAAUCGUCCAGCAGUUCCUCACUAGUGGGUGGGCCAUCUUCCCUGAGGACCUGGCAGGCAGGAAGGAGACAUCCUCCUGCUGGGGAAGGUGUCCUGGUAGAAGACAGGAGGUGAUGGGGCCCAAGUUGGGAAGAAGCUGCCCCACUCCAGGGGUAUGAGGGCGGAUGUGACAUGAGGAGCAAGUGAGGGGAAACGAGGCUGCAGAGACACAGGACGAGGGCGAGCAGGCUCCACCAGCAGAGCACAUGGAGCUCUCUAGACACUUCCAUAAAGACAGGGCCAGGGUGGCUGCUGAAGACCAACUUCCAAGACUGAAAAAGUACACGUCGCACAGACAGAGGUGGCCUCUGCAAAACUGUGAUAUGGCAAGGCCUGGCCUCUGCACCCUCCCCAGAUCUCCCAGCAGCCUUUCUGUCCACGUGGGACACAUCCUGAGGACGCCCCUGGGAGUCUGCUCAGAUGAUGUGCGUUCCUUCCCUGCCCUGCCUCAGCGUCUCGUGCACGGCAAGGCAUAAAUGACCGCCUCUCCUCACACUGAUUCGACAGAAGGGCGAUUUCAUGGGGCAACCAAAACGUAAGCAGAAUCUGGCUGCACCCAGUGGGGAUGGGGCUGGGGGAGUCCUUCCCCCUCUUAAGUCAUACUGGGAAGAGGGCUGCCUGGCCUGGCUCUCCAUGCCAACAUGCUCACAGAACCUACCCGCCAGUGACAUGUGCUCCUGUGCAUCUUCUGGGUGGGUACAGGACACAGCAGGAUGAGAACUGUCAUGAACACACCAGGGAGGAUUCUGGCUCCAACCGCGGCUUCACUUGCUCAACUCUACCUUCACUCAGUGCCACUCUCCAAAGCCCAAGGCCUUGGCUGUCAGCCUCCAGAGUCGGGUUCUCUUUUGAGGGGUGUUAGCAUCCUCACUGCACCCCUCUCCCACCUUGACAAGCGAAUCUCUUAAAGACCAGAUGGGUCACGUUUACUUUCAUUUCCAUAAUCUCCCUUACUGUUCCCCAAGUUCCGAAUCCUUCUACUCCUUUACAUUGGCAUGUAUUUAACUUACAGGAUCUUUUACCAGUGCGCCUACGUUUACACCGAGGCAUAAAAUUAAAAAUGUGGCCAGGCGCGAUGGCUCACGCCUGUAAUCCUAGUAAUCCUAGCACGUUGGGCAGCUGAGGUGGGCGGAUCAUGAGGUCAGAAUCCAGCCUGGCCAACAUGGUGGAACCCUGUCUGUACUAAAAAUACAAAAAUUAGCUGGGCGUGGUGGUGGGUGCCUGUAAUCCCAGCUACUCGGGAGGCUGAGGCAGGAGAAUCACUUGAAACCAGAAGGCAGAGAUUGCAGUGAGCUGAGAUCGCACCAUUGCACUCCAGCCUGGGCAACAAAAGCAAAACUCUGUCUCAAAAAAAAAAAAAAAUAGUGAAAGUGAAACAAAAGAUGGGAGUGUGUGUUUUAUUAAAGGUUAAAAGAGUUUUUAAUCACAAAACAUCAACAGUUGUUGGCUUGUCUCAAUCUUUUAUAAGCAACUAUUUACCACCAAGGUGGCUGAUUUCAAAGAGCUGGUUGUAUCUGCAGUGAUGUUUCUCUUUAAUUAAACACCCACUGUGUUAGUUAUCUGAUGCUAUGGAACGAAUUUACACAGGCGCCAAGGCUUCAAACAACAAGCAUGGAUUUUCCAGCAUCUGGGAUUGGGAAUCUGGGCACAGCUUAGCUGGGUCCUCUGUUGUGGGCUC
rnacentral:lncRNA from 10 species